AGGAUGGUCUCAGUAUCCUGACCUCGUGAUUUCCUGCCUCGGCCUCCCAAAGUGCUGGGAUUACAGGCAUGAGCCACCGUGCCCUGCCACACUGCUGUGCAAUUCUAAAGAAUUCUGGGAGUGCUGUCAGAGAGUACUUGAGCCAAAGUUGCCCAUCAAAAAAGUUUUAAAUUCACAGGAGUGGGUUUGCCUUAGCAUAGCUUUUGAACUAAGUAACUGGCCAGCAGCAGCAUGUGGAAGCAUGACCUUGGCAAGAAAUGUGGCCACAGAUAUCAGCACACAGCAGCUGGGGUAGCUGAUCAAUGUACUUCCUUCAAUGAGAGAUCUGUGAGGUGCAUUUCCAUGGCCACCACAGAGAUGUAUAAGAAAUAUUAGUUCAAUGAAUGAAUAAUGAAUAAAUGAAUGAAUGAAAGAAUUACUCCUUCAUGUUAUGUUUAUAACUGGCUCUUCCUCCAGGUUUUCUGCCUCACUUUUGGCUCUCUCAGCUACUUUAUUACUGAGAAUUUAUCUGUACUGUCUAGUUUUACAGCAACGCUGGGAGCUGCUAUUAUCCAUCCCCAUUUUAUAGAUGAGGAAAAUAAGCCUCCAGAUAGGUUAUGCAACUUACUCAACCAAGCUCAACAACUAAUAAAUGACUCAGCUCUGUCUUCUGAAGUUGACACUUAAAGCCCAUACCCUUAGCUAUUAAUGCUGUACAUUGCCAAUGCAAGGUGGAUAAAGACGUGGAGAAAUACUCUGCCCUGCUGAGUAGAGUCCUGAAACUGCAAGGGGUGGGGAAAUAGCAAUGAAUCCUAGGCUUAGGCCAGGUAACUAAGAUGUGCCUUUAUGAGUUUAUCUUGAUCAUUUCUUUAUUCAUUCAUUUAUCAUUGGCCAUUUAUUCAUUGUUCACUAGUCGGCAAACAUUUAUCAAACUCCUUUGCAUGCCAGUCCAUGGACUAAGUGUUAAUCUUUAUGCCUCUGAUGCUUAUCAUCUGCACCGUCCAAUACAGUAAGCCACGUGGAGCUAUUGAGCACUUGAAAUACAGUUGGCCUCAAUUGAGAUGUGUUGUGAAUAUAAAACAUAUACAGUUCUCAAAGAGUGAAUAAAGAAAAAAUUAUUUUUAAAAUCUCAUGAAUAGUUUUUAUACUGAUUACAUAUUAAAAUGAUAGUUUUUGGUCAUAUAAUGUUAAACGAAACAUAUUGUUAAAAUUAAUUCCACCCAUUUCUUUUUAUAAUUAUUAAGGUGACAUUAGACAAUUAAAAAUGAACAUGGCCGGGCGUGGUGGCUCAUUCCAGUAAUCUCAGCAUUUUGGGAGGCCAAGGUGGGUGGAUCACCCGAGAUCAGGAGUCUGAGACCAGCCUGGCCAACAUCGUGAAACCCCGUCUCUACUAAAAAUACAAAAGUUAGCCGGGCAUGCUGGCAUGUGCCUGUAAUUCCGGCUACUCAGGAGGUGGAGACAGGAGAAUUACUUGAACCUGGGAGGCAGAGGUUGCAGUGAGCCAAGAUCUCGCCACUGCCCUACAGCUUGGGAGACAGAUUGAGACUCCAUCUCAAAAAAAUGAACAUAUGGUUCCUAUUAUAAUUCUCUUGAAUUAUAGCACUGGUCUCAUGGAUGAUAUAGAUAGUGGUCUAAAAGUCCAGAGGUUUCUGAGGUCACAGAGCCCGGAGCAAAUGUCUGUGGGGAAUGUUUACAGAGGUGGGAGAUUUCACCUGGGCCUUGAUGAGAGCACUAGAUUUUACCUGAUGGAUGAAGCAGGGAAUGGUCUUCCCAGUGAAUGAUGGAAGGGUGGAGUAGUGGAGAGAAAAGCUUCAUCCAGUUAUUUGGGGCUGGAAUUCUAAGUGAAGUUGUCUCAAGUUGGGUUUUCUAGGAAACAGAGUCUGAGCUGCAGUUUAGCAUUUUUAUUUAUUAAAGUGCUUGUUUAUUAAAGAGUAUGCUUAACUUCACUCAGUAUGUAGAUAUGGGCUUCCCUGGAAGGGGCAAAACCUUGGAUGAGGCAGCUCUCUGCAGCUGAGGUAAUUCCCAAGAGGACCAGCAUUCAGACUGUCCCCCAAGAUCACACUCAUCAACUAGGAUGACAAGUCCUUUUUGAAGGACCAUCUGAAGGGUCCAUCACAGUGUCCACUUCAGUUGUCUAGAGAAAUAGAGGGCACAGUGUGCCUUCCUUUACUGCAAGCUCAGUCCACAGGGUCUCACAUUAGCUGAGUGUGUGGGAGGAAGACCAAGUGUCUGUGAUGUCAGGUGGGUAUUUCGGAGUGUAUAUAAAUUACAGUAAGGGCAGUGUCAAAUGAGUAUGUGUAAUGCAUCUACCCAUGGUCCCUAGAGUCCACUAGAAGACAAUUUCUUGGUGUUUAAGAGAUUAUUCUUUUAAUAAUUCAUUGAUCUUAACAAUACAAUACAUCAAUGGUUUACGCAAAAGCCAUGUUUUAUCUGCAAUGCACUUCUAAAUUGAAAGGUAUCAUAAAAUGGCACUUAACUUUCAGAAUCCUUAUGUUAUCUAAAGCUCAGUUUCAGAUUUGUUUGAUGAUAACGAAUAUCCUGUCUAUUUUAUUAUCUAGUACAAGCCCUAGUUUCGGAACUCAGAAAUAAAUGAGGCAAUGCCUGCAGGUGGGUGGCACGUGUAGGUGCCUGUGUGUGUGUGUGUGUUUGCGUGUUUUGGAGUAUGCAUGGAUUUGGCCUUAUAGUUUAUUGAGAGCAUUUUUGCACUGGUUUAUAGUCAUGCAGUGAAGCACCUCUGCAUUUCUCACCUGGCCCAUUUAGUGUGGACACAUUCCUUUGUCAACAAGGACAUAAAGCCACAAUCUCCUCCUCCAAACAAAACAAAGUGAAUCGCUAUGUGUUCGGUAUAAUGGGAUUGAGAAGUAGAGUUCUCUUUGCUGUUAUUUCUCCAUAAUAGGCCCAUGAUUUCCUGGCCCCUGGCAUUCAGGAUAGUGAGCAUGUGCAAGUGAUUACGAGGGCAGAGCAGUUGCCAGUUUUCCCUGUAGCUUUCAGAAUGUCAUCAGAAAUCUACACGUAUGGGCAGUGAGGUCUGGCUCUCCCAUGUCUCCCCUGCCCCAUCUUGAUUGCUCUCUCUCUCUCUUGCUUUCUAUUUCCCAGAAACAUGAACUUACUUUGACUUUUCCAAAUAUACCAUGUUCCUUACCACCCAGUGUCCUUGCAGCUGCCAUUCCCUCUGCCAAGAGUGAUUCUUGCUGGGCCCCUUUUAGAUCACAUCUUUAUUCCUGGUGGACAGAAAGAACCAGGACAACAAGCCCAUGCCUGUCCCAAGUAUAGCUGAGUGCUUGACACUUAGAGAAUGUGAAUAAGUGAAUGAGCACAGCAUAAAUGAAAUACCACAAACAGGCCAAGCCAAAUAAACUCUGAAGUUGAGUUUUACUUGGUUAUUAAUGAUCUUUGGCACAAGAGUUUCAGUGACUUGAUAAGGCCACAAGCCAAGUGUGGCCUGGUUCAAGAAGUACAGGGAUGAUACAGACAAGACAGAAAGGAAAUAAAUUCUAUCAAAAAGCUCAGCUGUCUUGAAAAAGCAAGAGAUAAGAAAUAACUUCAGAGGUGGGUAGAAUUGAGAAAAGGAUUUCUAUUUUGUUAUUUUCCCCGAAUAAAUAAGCCUUAAACAUGUUUGUAAGCUGCUGUGAAGUAACCAGCAGAGAGGAAGUGAUUGAAGAUGAGAGAGAGAAACAGAGUAAUUGAUGAACCAACGUCCCCGAGGAGACGGGAGGGAUGAAAUCAAGAGUAUAGGUCAAGAGGCGAGCCUGGGAGAGGCCAGUGCUAAGGCAGGUGAUAUUUCUGCCCGGCCGUUAGCUUUUGUGCAGAAUAGUGAAGGAAGAAUCAAUCACUUCCUUUCUGGCUGGGUAAAUGCCAAGAAAUUCUAUGGCAGAAACUUCCCCAGGCAGGAGACUCAGAAUUAAUUGUUAGGAUUAAGCAUAAACCAAAACGAGCAGGGAAAUCCCAAGCACUAAAUCCCAGGAAUGGGGCCUUCAUGGAUAAAGGAACUUCAUCUGUGAAUGAUCCAGGAGCCCAGAAUGCCAAGGGAAGUUUCUAGGUUCUUGGAGAUCAAGUUAAUGCCCCUCAUAAGGUUGUUUCACAUGAGCCAAAAUGUAUAUUGAUUUUUUUUUUUUUUUUGCCUUUAUUACACUUCCAGAAAGAGAGCAUGAUCUCCUGGAAUCUGUUUAGGGAAUAAAAAUGUCCGUACAGAAGAAAAAGGUUGUUUUUUGACCUUCUGCUGACACUGUCUUCUUGCUCUCAUCACAGCUUAUUUUCUAGCAAUAUGAGGCCCACAAAUUAGGAAUCUCCUUGCAGGCCUUCAAAUAUGAUUUACCUGAUUAAUAAAAUCUUAGUGGAAUAGAUAGUAUUCUCCUGUGUGUGUGUGUGUGUGUGUGUGUGUGUGUGUGUGUGUGUGUCUGAUGAUUGGGGUUCUUGGAUACUUAGGGUGCAGGGAUGAGGGCAAGCUGACCUUGUUUUUCAUCUAGGAGACCUGACAAAGAUGGUGGGCUGAGAUAGCCGUGUAAAGCUAAAACAGAAAUACUUAGUGAACAAGCAAGUGUGUGAGUGAAUAGAUCAAAGAAUGAAUGAAACUACCCUCUGCACUCUAGGUUCUAGAAGGCACCCUGAAAAAGGCAUGUUGCUUGGGGUAUAAUAAUUGCUCAAUAUAUUUUUCAGUAAGGAAUAAAAGAACCAACAAAUAUUGAUUGGAUUAAAUGGAUUAAUAACUGAUAAACACUUACAGGGCUGCGGCAUGUGCUAGGUAUAAUGUAUUACAUAGAUAAAAUGGAUACGAACCAUAUACCAGGCCCUGUGCCAAUUGCCUGCAUGUAACUCAAAACAAAAGACAAAGGUCUUGCCCUCAUGGAGCCUGAAGUCCAGUGAGGGUUUCGUUAAACUUGUAGGACACCAUUUCCAUGCCUUCCAUCAGUAGAGCAGAUUCUCUGUGCAGAUACUUUUCACACAAACAAUGCCUAACCAUCCCAGAAAAUCUGAGCGGUGUUAGCAACCUCACUUUCUCUGAGAUAAAGCUGAGAUUUCUUUUAGUGACUUGUCCAAGGUCACAUAGCUAUUACGUGGCAGAGUCAAGACUCAAACACAAGUCUGUCUCAUUUCAAAACUUGGGCUGUUUGCCUAUAUCAAACUGCCUUUAAUUUGCCCAUUUUAAAGCAGGAAAGAACUAAAAGGCUUGCUUUGAUGGAUGUGAGGUGAUUUGUUAAAAGCUUAAGAGACUGCCAUUUUUCAUGAUAUGCGUAAAUGUGCCCUAACCUCCUGAAGCAAUAUAAAGUGGUUCUUUAUGUUCUUAGGGUAUUCCCCAUCUAAGGUAAAAAUUAUCAAAACUACUGGGGAGAAAGCUUCUCUGGAGAUUUGCCUUAUAAAAUAAACAGAAAUCAAUUUUGACUUGUUUUCUAAUCAUGAUAAAUGAAGCCAGGUUAGGAGAAAAAAAAAAAAAAGUCCCAGCAUUAGUUGAGGAUCAUUUUGCCAGGAUACAUUGGUCUUUGACAAGCAAUUAAGAAGUCCUGUGAUUGUGCCUGGCAGUGCCACAGCUCAGCACACUCCUGAUUAAUUCUCAUUUUCUUUCUUUCCUCGGGAUUUAUUUACUCGUUUCACUUGGAAUGUGUUUAGCUUCUUAACCUCCCCCACCCCUCUUUUCUCACGUGCUUCUUUGCUUGGCCCCCUACAACUCUACCUAUACAUUAAUCAGUGUCAUAUUCAUUACUGCUGGUGAAAUGCCAUACAACAUUGGCAUUCAUUCAUUUUUGUCUCUUCUGUUGAGCCAUUCAUGGUAGAUUUCCCCAACGAAACCUACCAUGUUUGUUUUCUGUAUUUCCCACCAGAUGUUCUUUUAAAAGCCAGAAGAUGUCUGCCUUGGUCUGGUUGGUAUAAAGAGGGUUCAUCCAAUAUAAACUGCCAACAGUAGGUUGGAAAUACUCAUCAGUAUGGAAAGGGCGAAGUCUGGGCAAAUUGGAUGGGUCUUGGAGAAGCUCUAAGAGUUGGAAUCUACAUCAUCAUCUUUGUCUUCAUGGCUAGCAACUGUUGACUCCUUUCUCUAGUUCAGGCAUUCUGUCUGACUCUUACAUUAUUUCUUUGAAUCCUUACAACAACUCUAUAAAGAUGGUAAUGGAAAAAGACAAGAUGACCAAGAUUCAGAGACUUUAAAGCACAUGAGCAGUAAGUGGUGAAACCACCUCAGGCCUCUGCCUGUUGACUUAUUCAUAGGAUAACCCACAGAAACACUAAUUCAAACAUGGUGUCAGAAACAGCAGCAGUAAUGAAUGCCUCAAUGAAAAACAUUUGGCCCAGCACCUUGGUUAGGUUGAGUUUGCAUGGCAACCCUAUUGAAUCAUGGGUUUCUCAGAGCUGGGAGCUGCACCAUGCCAUCUACCUGCACCUGUCCUCUUUGGAGGCUGGGUUGGUGUUUGACCCUGUGAAGAGCUUUGGAUUGCUUUGCCUACCCGCAGUGGACUUGCUCACACAUAAGUGGGAGCCCUAGCUCAUGGUCUCCAAAUUUUUAUCCUCAUCGUUUCUUCCCACCUAGUUUUUUCCUAAUUCUGGCCCUUCCUGGCCACCCACCCUGCCAUUAUCUUUCUCUGACGCUUAGGACUUGAACCCUUUUUUCAUCCUUUUUGUUUUAUUCUGGUGUUUUAGUCGUGAGCUAACUGGAAAAUGCUUCUCACAGUUUAAUUGCCGUGGAAACUUUCUACUUGGAAUCAGACCCUAACGGGUUUUUUCCCUUUCCUUAGGGGGCUGUGCAUAUAGGAAAAGGGAACAUAUAUGUUAUCCCUCAUGUGUUAGGGGCUGUAUAGUAACAAGCCUGGAAUAACCCUUAGAGCACCUUCAUAGGGAAGGUAGGGUUUAUUAUCCAUGUUUCGUAAAUAAGAGCACUGAGGUUGAGAGAGGUGAUGCAGAUUGCUGAAGUGCCUAUAGCUAGGAAGUGGCAAGUCACAAUGGGGCCCCAGUUCUGUCUGCUCUAAAGCCCAGUCUGUCUGUCUGCUUCUCUGUAUGUCUCUCUUUUUCUCUCUCCCUAUUCUUCUGGAAGUCAUAGAAUCCUGUGAUUCUCUUCCAAACUGCUUUUUUUUCUAUUAAAAUUAUAACCCGUUAUUAAAAUAUUUAAGCACACAAAUUAACUGGUGCUAAUUAUGAUAUUUUGAAUGGUAAUAAGCAAUUAGAGUGAGAUUUAAAGAAGAAAAAAACACCUGUAUAUAACUUGGCAUCUUUUGUAAUAAAUACAAACACCUAAAUAUAACUUGGCAUCUUUUGUAAUAAAUACAAACUUUUGUCAAUCAUGACUUGAUCUAACCGAUAUGCCUCAGGUCUGCACAGAACGGAAAUGUUUUUUGGAAAUCCUAGUACUUCAGAAGGCUUUGGCAUCCAAAUCCAUUGCAAGUAGCUUUCUAUUUAGUCUCUCAUUUUCUCUCUAAAGAGAGAUUGAUAUGAUGAUUUUUAGCUUAAUUUGAGAGAUGUUGAGUUUUCUCCAAGACACCCUCGUUGGUUCACCUUGCUCUGAAUCCUUUGUCUUCUCACCCUUUGUGGCAAAUUGAGACGGGGGAAAACUAUUAGGUUGGGGCGAAAGUAAUUUCUGUUUCUGCCAUUACUUUUGCCCCAACCUAAUACCUCCCAGCAAAAUGCAGGGGUUGCGGAGAGAAAGGGAGUGAUGUAUGGAGAGUCAGUCAUAGUACAUGUGCAAUUCAAGAUACCUGGGUGGGCAUAGUAGUCUUUCCCCUGGAGUUCUAUGUCAUUGCAGCCUCCUCUCCCAUCACAGCAUAAUUUAAGUGAAGCAGGUUUAACGGGUGGUCAGUAUUUACCAGAGCCAGCCUUCUGCUUCUGGCCAGCUGGGUGACUUGACUAGCAGACCAUUACUCCAUGUGGGCCACCGUUUCCCAUGAAUAGAGUGCGACAUUUGAACUAAAUGAACCUAGGUUUCUCCCAUGGAGUGCAGUUUCUCCCUAAAUGAACCCAGGUUUCUCCCAUGGAGUGCAGUUUCUCCCUAAAUGAACCCAGGUUUCUUCAAAAUUCUAGAGGCUCUGACUCUAGCAGCUGCAAUUGGACUCUUCCCUAGAAGCAUCUCGCUGAGUCUGAGAAAGGCACGUCAAUGAUUCUUCAAGGGAAGUAGGGGGAAGCAGAGGCAGUGCCAUUCACAAUGAGCCACGGCUGCUGACAGCAGUUCUGUAACCAUCCGGUGUGUUUAGACGGGAGAAAGAGCUUGAGAAUCGCGAUUAUAUGGAUCAUCUCUCUCUAGAUGGACUUCUUUUAUGGGAGAUAAUACUGAGGUUAAGAGGUUAAGCAACUUGCUCAGGUCACGCAGCAAUUUAUAAUAUAACAAGAUAUUUAUGAGUAAAACAUAUAUGAACUAAUUAUAUAUCUGAUAGUCGUUUUUAAGGAGGAAGAAGUUACCAUAAGAAAAAGAAAAACAGGACUUGGGUGUUAUACCAUGAAUCACACGUGUGUGUGUGUGUGUGUGUGUGUGUGUGUGUGUGUAAGAUAAUUUUUUCAGCAAAUUAAAAACAAAGCCUAAGAAAAAUGAGAACUUCCUGAACAAAAAUAUUCAAAAUGAUGACUAACUAGAAAGUAUCAGAAACCACAUUUUCCUUAACCAGUACUGUCUCAUACAAAUAUAACAUAAGUCACACAAGUAAGUUUAAAUUUUCUAGUAGGUGCAUCAAAAAAGCAAAAAGAACCAGGUAAAAUUAAUUUUAAUAAUGUACUUUAACCCAUAUCUAAAAUGUGACUUCAUUGUGUAAUCAAUAUGAUAAAUUAUUCACAUAUUUGACCUUUUUGUACUAAGUUGUUAGAAUCCAGUGUGUAUUUAUUUUGCACUUGUGGCAUGUCUCGAUUAGGACGAGCCACAUUUCAAAUGCUUAGUAACCACACAUGGCUACUGGCUACAGCAUUGUACAGUGUGGCAAAAGUUUCUCUCCUUUUUCUCUUUUCCCAGGCUCUGUUGAAAUUUUUCUUUCAGAAAAAUAUUUAAAUAGGAUAUACUCUGACUUUGAAAAAAUACACAUAUGUGUAUGUUUAUAUAAGUAUAUGAAUAUAUACAUGCAUAUUUCUAUCUAUCUACCUGUCUAAUAUCUGUCAUCGAUCUAUCUACCUACCUACCUACCUGUACAUCUAUCUCUCUAGAGAUCUUCUCCACAAAAGCAAGGAAAGAGAAUCUCUGACACUAUAUUUUCUUAAUGAAGAUGGAGAAGUUUUUGCAGUUCUCAUUAUUUCAUUUCAGGCUUUCAGAUGUUCAGGAGCCCUUUACUAGAAGGUUGAUAGAUUAAUAAUCUCCCCACUAAGCUUAUAGCUUAGCAGACCUCCAUGGUGGCCAUGAUGAGGAUUCCUUUAACACAUGAUUGGCCCUUAGUCCCCAUUUCUCUGGUGUGAGUUUUCAGCUUUUGUUACCACAUCAAAGCUCCGGCAAUUUGUGCAGGAAACCCCUUGAAGCAAUCAUGAACCCACUUGUACUGUAAGAGUUCUUACUUCCAUGUCCUAAAAGAAUAAUAACCACAAAAGGAUAUUUCCUUGCUAAUGGACUGGGGAGAAUGGACUGUGACAAAGGCUGGUUUCUCAUUGCCAGGAUUUUAAUGAGGGGACUCACCUGAAAAUGUCUAGUGCACAUUAGGCUCUUCUAAUAGUUUCCGAGAGCUGGAGUAACAGAUUACCACUAACUCAAAUGGCUUAAAACAACAGAAAUGUGUUUUCUCACAGUUCUAGUGGUUAGAAUUCCAUAUUCAUGGUUUCGGCAGGGCUGUACUCCCUCCGAAGGCUCCAGGGGAGGAUCCUUCCCCACCCCUUCCUAGAUGCUGGUGGCUCCUGGCAGUCCUUGGCAUUCCCUGCAGGUGCAUCUUGCCAACCUCUGCUUCCAUUGUCUCAUGACCUCCUCUUCUGCCUCUCUGUCUGUGUGUCCUCAUGUGUUUUUGUAAGGACACCAGUCUUUGAGUUUAGAGCCUACCCUAAUCUAAAAUGACCGUAACUUUGUCACAUCUGCAAAGGCCUUAUUUCCAAAUAAGGUUGCAUUCUGAGGUUCUGGAUGAACAUGGAUUUUGGGGAGGCAUCAUUUAACCCAGAGCAACUGUCACUAAAAUUUUCCUACCAAGAUCCCUUACUCUAGUUUAAUUGGCCUCUUAUUCAAGGCCUACUCCAUAAGUUAUUUUGGAAUAUAGAAUUUCAGAACAGAAAUGGGAUCUGAUGAUUGCCUAGUUCAGUGGAACCCUUUCUUUAAAUGGAAAUUUAGUCACAGUAAAGGACAGAAAAGAACGCGAACCAAAGCUUAGGUGAUAUGUUUGCAGGAGGAAGGGGUGGCCCACAGUGACCCCCGCUGCCCCCUCCUCUUUACCCCUCACUAGGCUCCCGGAAGACUUCCAGAGCAUCCCAAGGGCUCCACAAACCCCUGUUUAAUCAUAAUCCCUUUACUGUAGGGAUUAAAAACUACUGUUUAGGGAGAUAUAGUGAAUUUUCCCAAGUCACACUGCAACUUGAAUCUGAGGCUUGACCCAUCUAUGAAAUAUCCAAACUGUCGGUCCAUUCAUUUCUGCAUUACCAACAAUGGUCAGUUAUAUAUUUUUCUUUGAGAAGAGAAAAGCAAAACAGUCCAUGCUUGCAAUUCUUUUCUUCCUUUUUGUAAACUAUGACAGAAAAUUCAUGGUGAGGCCAAAGCCAUGACAACACCUGUGUUGCCUCACAUUGAUUUUCUGUUUCCAACUGGAGGAAGAGGUUCCCGGAACAGCCACUUUUGAGUCAAGUGUGUGAGGAAGGAGUCUCUCUUGCCAAGGACUGCUGUAGAUGAUUCCUGCAUAGCCAGCGCUGUGCAGGGCCUCCACUUGAGUGAGCACUCUGUUCCCAUUCUAUUUCUCACUAGUAUUUUGAGUAUGUUCCCCCCAAAGUAGAGAUAGUAUGUCUUUGAAUGCAAACCAUGGGCUGAGCCCUCCAAAUUACUUUUAAAAAAUUAGCUUCUUCAAAAAAUUUUUUUCCACUUCCCUACUGUCUUAAAUAUACUGGUGCUUCUGCCCUAAGACCUUUCAGGAAAGGUACAUGUUCUACCUGAUUUACAACAAUAGGUUAUUCUGGGUAAAUAAUAUAUCUGUUGGAUUUAUUGUGCUUAUUAUUUUAUUGGACCACACUAUCCUUAACCUAGAGAAGAAGCUUGAGGAAAGGAGCUAGGGUCAGGCAGAAGACAGGUAUGUUUUGAAAUAAGAAAGGAAAAGGAAAACGUCUGGAACCUUGACAUUCCACAGGAUAUUGUCCCAUGAAUACAAAAGGUGAUGGGUAGCUAGAACCUGAGGGAGGAGGUGCCUUCUUUUGGAAUUAAAAUUCCAGAAUGUUCUGGAAAGUGCCAGAUGCAAGACCAAGUAGGACCAGCUAGUAAUGGAAAUUCCUCCCAUAUUGACAAGGUUGAUGAACACAUGGUGGGUGCAGCUCAUGGAACACUGGGAGGUCAAAAGCGGUCUCAGUUACCUUUGUACAAUGGACAUGGCACCCCAGGUUAACACAGGGGCCACCUGCCCAGCAGGCAUGGGCAUCAGAUGAAGGCAUUUUUUAAACACCUUAUUUAACAAUUCAGAGUCUAGAUACGAGUACAUUCUCAUUUUAAAUAGUUCAGAAAAACAGAUAUUCCCUUUUCCUCCUUCCAAACAUAUUCUUCCCUUAGAGGCAACCAACAUUAUUAGUUUAAUGAAUCACUUUCCAGACCUUUCUCUCACAUUUAGGUACAUACAAUCACCCCUCGGUAUCUGUGGGGGCCAAAAUCCAGAAACCUCUGUGAAUACCAAAAUCUGCAGAUACUCAAGUCUCUUUUAUAAUAUAGUGUAAUGUUUGCGUAAAACCUAGGCACAUUCUCCCUAUACGGUUGACCCUUGAACUACAUGGGUUUGAACUGAAUGGCUCCACUUAUCCACAUGUUUUUACCAAAUGGCAAAUUGAAAAUACAGUAUUCAUAAGAUAUAAAACCUGCAUAUAAGGAGGGUCACUUUUUCAUACACAAGGGUUCCACGGGGCUGACUGUGGGGCUUGAGUAUGCAUGGGUCAGGGUAUAUAUGUGGGGGUCCUGAAACCAAUCUUCUCCAUAUACAGAGGGACAACUAUACUUUAAAUCAUCUCUAGAUUACUUAUGAUAUGUAAUACAAUGUAAAUACUUUGUAAAUAGUUGUACUGUAUUUUAAAAUUUGUAUUAUGUUUUAUAGUUGCAUUGUUAUUUUUAUUGUUUUAAACAAUAUUUUCAAUCCAUGAUUGGUCAAAUUCACAGAUGUGGAACCCACAGAAACUGAGGACUGACUGUAUAUGUGUGUGUGUGUGUGUGUGUGUGUGUGUGUGUGUGUGUGUAGACACGUAGAAUUUUGUGAUCUAGAAGUGUUAAAUAUAAGAGGUAAUUAUGUGAG